GACAGAGGUCUCAAGCGUUAGGCGGAAUCACUGGGCUUAAAGCGUGUGUAGGCGGAUUCCUAAGUACCUUGUGAAAUCCCCGGGCUUAACCCGGGAACUGCUUGGUAUACUGGGUGUCUUGAGCCAACUAGGGGCGACCGGAACAAACGGUGGAGCGGUGAAAUGCGUAGAUAUCGUUUGGAACGCCAAUGGUGAAAACAGGUCGCUGGGGUUGUGCUGACGCUGAGACGCGAAAGCCAGGGGAGCGAACGGG
rnacentral:rRNA from 1 species